rnacentral:rRNA from 1 species
GACGAACGCUGGCGGCGUGCUUAACACAUGCAAGUCGAACGAAGAGCGAUGGAAGCUUGCUUCUAUCAAUCUUAGUGGCGAACGGGUGAGUAACGCGUAAUCAACCUGCCCUUCAGAGGGGGACAACAGUUGGAAACGACUGCUAAUACCGCAUACGAUCUAAUCUCGGCAUCGAGGAUAGAUGAAAGGUGGCCUCUACAUGUAAGCUAUCACUGAAGGAGGGGAUUGCGUCUGAUUAGCUAGUUGGAGGGGUAACGGCCCACCAAGGCGAUGAUCAGUAGCCGGUCUGAGAGGAUGAACGGCCACAUUGGGACUGAGACACGGCCCAGACUCCUACGGGAGGCAGCAGUGGGGAAUCUUCCGCAAUGGACGAAAGUCUGACGGAGCAACGCCGCGCGAGUGAUGACGGCCUUCGGGUUGUAAAGCUCUGUUAAUCGGGACGAAAGGCCUUCUUGCGAAUAGUGAGAAGGAUUGACG